rnacentral:rRNA from 1 species
AUUAUAAUUUUAGGUCUAACCUGCCCAAUGAGGAGUUUAAUGGCCGCGGUAUAUUAACCGUGCAAAGGUAGCAUAAUCAUUAGUUUUUUAAUUGAAAGCUGGAAUGAAAGGUUGGAUAAGAAAAUUACUGUCUCUAUAAAAAUUAAUUUGAAUUUUAUUUUUAAGUUAAAAAGCUUAAAUAUAUAUAGAAGACGAGAAGACCCUUUAGAGUUUUAUAUUUUUUAGUUAAAUGAAAUUUAGGUUUAAAAAUUAUUUUAAUAAAAAAAAUAUUUUGUUGGGGUGACAAAAAAAUUUAUGUAACUUUUUUUUAUUAGUACAUUUAUUUAUGAGUUUAUGAUCCUAAAAUUUAGAUUAUAAGAUAAAAUUACCUUAGGGAUAACAGCGUAAUUUUUUUUAGAGUUCUUAUCAAAAAAAAAGUUUGCGACCUCGAUGUUGGAUUAAAAUUAAUUGUUGGUGAAGAUGCUUUCAUAUUAGGUCUGUUCGACCUUUAAAAUUUUACAUGAUCUGAGUUUAAACCGGUGUAAG